rnacentral:lncRNA from 1 species
CUGUGUUGGUUUGCUGUACCCAUUAACUGGUUAUUUAUAUUAGGUAUUUCUCCUAAUGCUAUCCCUCCCCCAUCCCCCCCACGACAGGCCCUGGUGUGUGACAUUCCCCGCCGUGUGUCCAAGUGUUCUCAUUAUUCAAUUCCCACCUAUGAGUGAGAACAUGUGGUGUCUGGUUUUCUAUCCUUGUGAUAGUUUGCUCAGAAUGAUGGUUUCUAACUUCAUCCAUGUCCCUACAAAGGACAUGAAGCUCAUCCUUUUUUAUGGCUGCAUAGUAUUCCAUGGUGUGUACGUGCCACAUUUUCUAAAUCCAGUCUAUCAUU